AUGUACCCCUCGUACAUUCCGGUUCUGAGCGCGCCGUCCGCGCCCACCUGAC
rnacentral:sRNA from 1 species